rnacentral:rRNA from 1 species
UGGGGAAUAUUGGACAAUGGGCGAAAGCCUGAUCCAGCCAUGCCGCGUGUGUGAAGAAGGUCUUCGGAUUGUAAAGCACUUUAAGUUGGGAGGAAGGGCAGUUACCUAAUACGUGAUUGUUUUGACGUUACCGACAGAAUAAGCACCGGCUAACUCUGUGCCAGCAGCCGCGGUAAUACAGAGGGUGCAAGCGUUAAUCGGAAUUACUGGGCGUAAAGCGCGCGUAGGUGGUUAGUUAAGUUGGAUGUGAAAUCCCCGGGCUCAACCUGGGAACUGCAUUCAAAACUGACUGACUAGAGUAUGGUAGAGGGUGGUGGGAUUUCCUGUGUAGCGGUGAAAUGCGUAGAUAUAGGAAGGAACACCAGUGGCGAAGGCGACCACCUGGACUGAUACUGACACUGAGGUGCGAAAGCGUGGGGAGCAAACAGGAUUAGAUACCCUUGUAGUCCCUGAGCGGGCUGGCAAGGCGCAU